GCCGGCUUAGCUCAGUUGGUAGAGCGUGCGAUUCGUAAUCGCAAGGUCAUCGGUUCGACUCCGAUAGCCGGCUCCA
rnacentral:tRNA from 1 species